GACGAACGCUGGCGGCGCGCUUAACACAUGCAAGUCGAACGGAAAGGCCUGAUUUCCCUUGUGGAUUGCGGGUACUCGAGUGGCGAACGGGUGAGUAACACGUGAGUGAUCUGCCCCCAACUUGGGUAUAAGCCUGGGAAACUGGGUCUAAUUCCCGAUAGGACUGCAGGGUGGUGCCUGUGGUGGAAAACGAUUUUCUAGUGGUUGGGGAUGAGCUCGCGGCCUAUCAGCUUGUUGGUGGGGUAAUGGCCGACCAAGGCGGCGACGGGUAGCCGGCGUGAGAGGGGGGACGGUGACAUUGGGACUGGGAUACGGCCCAGACGCCUACGGGAGGCGGCAGUUGGGAAUAAUGGAGAGUGAGCGUAAGCCUGAUGCAGCGACGCCGCGUGGGGGAUGUCGGCCUUCGGGUUGUAAACUCCUUGCGACGGCGAGGAAGCCACCUGGUUGGAAGGGUGGUGACGGUAGUGGUAGAAGAAGCACCGGCUAACUACGUG
rnacentral:rRNA from 1 species